rnacentral:rRNA from 1 species
UACGAAGGGGGCUAGCGUUGUUCGGAUUUACUGGGCGUAAAGCGCACGUAGGCGGAUCUUUAAGUCAAAGGUGAAAUCCCAAGGCUCAACCUUGGAACUGCCUUUGAUACUGGGGAUCUUGAGUCCGGGAUAGGUGAGUGGAACUGCGAGUGUAGAGGUGAAAUUCGUAGAUAUUCGCAAGAACACCAGUGGCGAAGGCGGCUCACUGGCCCGGUACUGACGCUGAGGUGCGAAAGCGUGGGGAGCAAACAGG